ACGGAGGGUGCGAGCGUUGUUCGGAAUUACUGGGCGUAAAGCGCACGUAGGCGGCUAUUCAAGUCAGAGGUGAAAGCCCGGGGCUCAACCCCGGAAUUGCCUUUGAAACUAGAUAGCUAGAAUCUGGGAGAGGUGAGUGGAAUUCCGAGUGUAGAGGUGAAAUUCGUAGAUAUUGGGAGGAACACCAGUGGCGAAGGCGGUCCCCUGGGCCGGAACUGACGCUGAGGCGCGAAAGCGUGGGUAGCAAACAGGA
rnacentral:rRNA from 1 species